GUAGCGGAGCGUUCCGUAAGCCUGCGAAGGUGCACUGCGAGGUGUGCUGGAGGUAUCGGAAGUGAGAAUGCUGACAUGAGUAGCGACAAAGCGGGUGAGAGACCCGCUCGCCGAAAAUCCAAGGGUUCCUGCGUAAAGCUAAUCUGCGCAGGGUUAGCCGGCCCCUAAGGCGAGGCCGAAAGGCGUAGCCGAUGGGAACCACGUUAAUAUUC
rnacentral:rRNA from 1 species